rnacentral:rRNA from 1 species
AUUGAACGCUGGCGGCAGGCCUAACACAUGCAAGUCGAACGAGUGGCGGACGGGUGAGUAAUGUCUGGGAAACUGCCCGAUGGAGGGGGAUAACUACUGGAAACGGUAGCUAAUACCGCAUACCAUACGCUGUGCCCAGAUGGGAUUAGCUUGUAGGUGAGGUAACGGCUCACCUAGGAGACGAGCCCUAGCUGGUCUGAGAGGAUGACCAGGGACAUGGGAACUGAGAGACGGUCCAGACGACUCCGUGAGGCAGAAGUGGGUAAUAUUGCAAAAGUGGCGCAAGCCGUAUGAAUCCAUGCGGCGGGGAUGAAGAAGGCCUUCGGGUUGUAAAGUAAGUUCAGCGGGGAGGCGUUACCCGCAGAAGAAGCACCGGCUAACUCCGUGCCAGCAGCCGCUGUAAGAC